ACAGAAAUAAAUAUGUCUCUUAUCAGAUGAGAGCAGUAAGGACGGUCAGCUGCUCGAUCUGCACUCUCAGCUGGAGGAUUUCUCUCUUGCUGCGGACAGCUUCCUCCUGAUACUCCGACACCGUCUUCUCCACCAGUCCGAAGACUUCCUCUACAGCCGCCUCCAGCCGCUCGCUGACCCGCAGCUUGAGCAGCAGCGUCGACGACAUCAUGGAGCUCCGACAGCAAAUGUUAUGGGCGAAACAGACACUUUCAAAUCCUAACCCUAAAUAUCAGCCGUUUCAAGUACCAACUGCCAGACUGUAGUAAACUAACCGUUAGUUUGUACUUCCGGUUCGACGUCAUGACGUACCGCUAAUGAGCAAAAACAAACAGUAGUCUUAUCUAUAUUAUGUUAUUAUUAUAUAUCUGUAUUUUUAGGGAAAUUUCAUAUCCAUAAAUAAAAUGGGCUGACUCCAAAACAAUAUAUUAGCACUAUUAAAAACAUUAGGAAAAAGGCAAUCAAAAGUAAUUUGAUUGAAAAAAAAUAUUUAAUAUGAAGUAUCAAAAUGUAUUUUUCUUUCCGUUUUUUCUUUGGUUACUGUAUGUAAUGUCUUGUUGCUUUUUUGUCUGCCCCUGGACUUUGUCUGUUGUAGCCUAUGUCAAAUGUAUGAUGUUCAUGUAUGACAUUGAAUAGAUGAAUAAAAACAUUUUUAAAAA